rnacentral:rRNA from 1 species
UUAAAGGAAUUGACGGAAGGGCACCACCAGGAGUGGAGCCUGCGGCUUAAUUUGACUCAACACGGGGAACCUCACCAGGCCCGGACACCAGAAGGAUUGACAGAUUAAGAGCUCUUUCUCAAUUUGGUGGGUGGUGGUGCAUGGCCGUUCUUAGUUGGUGGAGUGAUUUGUCUGGUUAAUUCCGGUAACGAACGAGACUCUGGCCUACUAAAUAGUCGUCGUGGGUUUUGGUGCAUGAGCCCCGUACGACAUUGUCUUCUUAGAGGGAUGAGCAGCGAGUAUAGCUGCAGGAGAUUGAGCAAUAACAGGUCUGUGAUGCCCUUAGAUGUCCUGGGCCGCACGCGCGCUACACUGAAUGGAUCAGCGGGUUGCCCUUCUCCGAGAGGAGCGGGAAAUCGCAUGAAAACCAUUCGUGAUAGGGAUUGGGGCUUGCAAUUGUUUCCCAUGAACGAGGAAUUCCCAGUAAGCGCAAGUCAUCAGCUUGUGUUGAUUAAGUCCCUGCCCUUUGUACACACCGCCCGUCGCUACUACCGAUUGAAUGAUUUAGUGAGGCCUUCGGACUGGCGGUCCAGGACUGGGUCCGUCCGGCCGCUCACCCCCAGCGAUGGGGGGGCCGGCGGACUCGCCUGGACCUGACGGAAAGAUGUCCAAACUUGAUCAUUUAGAGGAAGUAAAAGUCGUAACAAGGUUUCC